rnacentral:tRNA from 2 species
GGAGAGAUGGCUGAGUGGUCGAAAGCGGCGGUCUUGAAAACCGUUGACGGGUAACCGUCCGGGGGUUCGAAUCCCUCUCUCUCCGCCA